rnacentral:misc_RNA from 1 species
GAUGAAGAACGUAGCGAAAUGCGAUAAGUAGUGUGAAUUGCAGAAUUCAGUGAAUCAUCGAAUCUUUGAACGCACAUUGCGCCCUUUGGUAUUCCUUAGGGCAUGCCUGUUCGAGCGUCAUUUAAACCUUCAAGCUAAGCUUGGUGUUGGGUGACUGUCCGCUUCACGGCGGACUCGCCUCAAAAUUAUUGGCGGCCGGUACAUUGGCUUCGAGCGCAGCAGAAACGCGAACUCGGGCCCGUCGUAUUGGCUCCCAGAAGCUAUCUUCACAAUUUUGAGCUCGGAUCAGGUAGGGAUACCCGCUGAACUUAAGCAUAUCAAUAAGCGGAGGA